GGACCCGCACAAGCGGUGGAGCAUGUGGUUUAAUUCGAUGCAACGCGAAAAACCUUACCUACUCUUGACAUACUUGGAAGCUCUUGUAAUGAGAGUGUGCCUUUUGGAACCAAGAUACAGGUGCUGCAUGGCUGUCGUCAGCUCGUGUCGUGAGAUGUUCCGUUAAGUCGGAUAACGAGCGCAACCCUUACCCUUAUUUGCCAGCGAUUCGGUCGGGAACUAUAAGGGGACUGCCGGUGAUAAACCGGAGGAAGGUGAGGACGACGUCAAGUCAUCAUGGCCCUUACGAGUAGGGCUACACACGUGCUACAAUGGGGAAUACAGACGGACGCUAAGCCGCGAGGUGGUGCUAAUCCUAGAAAGUUUCUCGUAGUCCGGAUUGGAGUCUGCAACUCGCCUACGUGAAGGCGGAAUCGCUAGUAAUCGCAGGUC
rnacentral:rRNA from 1 species